AGACUCCUAAAUAAAGCAUUUCCCCUGUGUGGGCGACCCCUGGGUCCCAUGUGGGGUCAGUGUUUGGGUCUCUCUGAGAGGAUCAGGAAGGCUGCUCUUCCAGGAAGAGCUGCAGGGACCCUGGGAACCGGACCAGUCCAGCUCACAAGUAUGAAGAGAAUGUCGGGAGAGGAAGUGGUGGCUAUGAGUCAGCAUGAGUCAUCUCGUUCCAAUGAGAAUGAAGGCUGAGGUGUGCGCCUUUUUUUUUUUUUCCUUCUUAGUCGUGUGUACAUCAUUGGGAAUGGAGGGAAAUAAAUGACUGGAUGGUCGCUGCUUUUUGAGUUUCAAAUUGACAUUCUAGACAAGCGGUGCCUGAGCCCGUGCCUGUCUUCAGAUCUUCACAGCACAGUUCCUGGGAAGGUGGAGCCACCAGCCUCUCCCUGAAUAACUGGGAGAUGAAACAGGAAGCUCUAUGACACACUUGAUCGAAUAUGACAGACACCGAAAAUCACGACUCAGCCCCCUCCAGCACCUCUACCUGUUGCCCGCCGAUCACAGCCGGAAUGCAGCUGAAAGAUUCCCUGGGGCCUGGUUCCAACCGCCCACUGUGGACUCUGAGGCCUCUGCAUUUGCGGGUGGUCUGCCUGUGAUAUUUUGGUCAUGGGCUGGUCUGGUCGGUUUCCCAUUUGUCUGGCCAGUCUCUAUGUGUCUUAAUCCCUUGUCCUUCAUUAAAAGCAAAACUAAAGAAAACAGAA